UGGAAUGCAGCCCUCCUCUGCUUGCCAGGCCUUGCUCUCUGGUCCUAGACUGUGUCAGUGCAGAGGAUAGGACAUCUUUUUGUAACUUGUCAUCUCAGAGGGGCACCCUUUUGGCCAGAAGCACUGCAAGGUGUGUCUGCCACGUUCCUGUGGAUGCCUGAUUUUCCCUGCCCUCAGCCUCCAGAUGACACUGGGGCUUCGCUACUGCUGAGGAGAGACCAGAAAUAGAGGAAUUUCACAUCUAAUGCCAUCUCGCCCAAGUGCCUGAUCUCUCCCACUUCUUUUCAGCUUCUUCAGUAAUAAUCCCACACACAAAUUCAGCAAACAUGAAGGAUUUUCUUGCAUAUCCAUAUCCUAUACGUACGAAUGGGAUGUAUAACAUGGCAACAUUAUGACUUAUGUGGUUUUUUUUUCUCCCUGUAGUUAUCUAUUUGGCCGUUCCCUCCCCACUCAGCCAAUUUAAACAACUAGGCUGUGCUGUGCUCAGUGCCUCAGGAAAGGCAUGGGAAAAGCAGGAAACAGAGAAGGGGAAGGCUUGUCUUCACAUAUGCUUCCAGAAGCUGAUGCUCUUUUUUUAAGUUUAUUUAUAUAUUAGAGACAGGGUGUGUGCAAGUGGGGGAGGGGCAGAGAGGGAGAGAGAAUCCCAAGCAGGUUCCACACUGUCAGUGCAGAGCCCAACACGAACUGACAUCAUGAUCUGAGCUGAAAUCAAGAGUUGGACACUUAACCGACUGAGCCACCCGGGCACCCCGAGAAGCUGAUACUCUUUUUUUUUUUUUAAGUUUAUUUAUUUAUUUUGAAAGAGAGAGAGAGAGAGAGAGCAUGAGCUGGAAAGGGGCAGAGAGGGAGAGAGCGAGAAUUCCAAGCAGGAUCCUUUCUGUCAGCAUAGAGCUGAUGAGAGGCUCAAACUCACAAGCUGUGAGAUCAUGACCUGAGCUGAAAUCAAGAGCCAGACAUUUAACGGACUCAGCCACCUAGGUCUCCUGAGAAGCUGAUACUGUUAAGGGAGAAGCAAGGCCUCUGUAUGAAGAUUAGAUGAGAUGGACAGCCUCAAUAAGAGCAGAGAUGACCACUCCUGUCCUUUUUAGGAAGGGCCCUCCUGGGUGAGGGAAGGUUGAUAGAGAGUUCUGUGCUCUACCUGUUGGCAAUUCCAUCUGGGAAGACUCUCCUGCUCCAACAGGGCAUAAAAUGAGUCCUGUGCCUUCAUGGGCAGCACAACAAAGCUAAUGGAAUAGUCAGAUCUAAAGGAUUUCUGCCUGGAAUGAGGGGUCCUGCUGAGCACUUGUGUGGACUGAAACCUGAUGACCAGCAGGGAGGAUGUCUGCGUGGCCUCUAAGUGACCUUCCACCCCAUCCCCUAGCCCUAAGUGGGCUUCCUGGAAUACACAGUCCUGGAGAAAAUAGGAGCUUGAGACCAAGCUUCUGCCGCCCCUGUGCAGUGGGAUUCAAACAUGAAAUCAUAGAAAAACAGGUGAAUUUCACACCUGAGUGGUGAGCAAGGAUCCAAACCUGCUGUAGGAUCUGUAUAAACCAGACUUUCCCCCACCUUUCCUUUCUGCCUCACUCCACCCACACCUCUACCCAUGGUUCCGUAAUUCUUUCCCACACCCACGUUCUGGGGAGGAAACCCACUAGAGCUGUGGGGCUGCCUAGGGGCGGUUGGGGUGAAGGGCUACAUGACCGAGCCCAGGUGCUAGUGAAUGUGAUGCUAGCAUGACAAAAGCAUCCGGGAGUGUCCACUCACUUGUCUUCACACACACCCUCACCCUGUGGCCAGAGGAAGAUGCCAGCUCAUGUUUGAGCCUCAAGCAAGGAGUUCUGUCCCUGUUCUGUCUCCUGAGAGUCCAGCCCUGUCUUCAGAAUCUGGGUGAGAAGGGCUUUUGCUACCUGGGAUCCAGGUCUGCCUCUCUGACUUUUGAAGGAGGCGUGCUCACAGCACAGCAGGGCUGCGUGGCUGGCGGGGCUGGCACACCCCAGCCAUGACAGGUGUGAGCCAGUGAGCUCUGUGCCACCGAGAUCCUGGUCCUGGCUCUAGCAGGGCUUGCCGUGUGACCACAGCACUUGCCCAAGCUUCUCCAAGUCCCUGAUUCCUCCCUGGGAAAUGAGGAGACUGGAUUAGAAUGAUCUGUAAGGUUCUUCUAGCUCUUUGGUAUUUAUGACAGUUGCUGCCAUUUCCCAUUUCCCUGAUUUGGGGCAGCAGUUCAGUUCUUUUAUAAACCUGACGGAGUUUCUGUCCCUUUUGUAUGCCUGGACCUUGAGAGGGCUCCUUCCCCAUCCCCACUAGUGAUGACAACAGCAACAUUUUUCAGGUGAACAGGGCUUUCUAGUUUAAAACAAUAGUGUCACAUUAAUUGAUAUCAUUCAGUAUUAGGGACCUGCCAUCAUGAGUCCCUCUUGUACUUCUCGUUCUGUUUAUCUGCCUCUUUGGUGAUUGAUUGCCUUUCUAUUUCUUUUGCUCGGCUUGGAAGACUUCUGAGUGUGCCCAGUGCCAGCUCCUGCACAUGUCUACUGUCUUCUCAGAGAUACCCCAUGCACACCUCCAUGCCUGUUUGUAGUGACCAAAGCAAAUGGCUUUCAUCACACUUUAGUUUUUUUCAUUUUAAUUCCAGCGUAGUUAACAUACAGUGUUAUAUUAGUUUCAGGUGUACAAUAUAGUGAUUCCACAGUUCUAUACAUUACUCAGUGCUUAUCAUGUUAAGUGUACUUUGAAUCCCCAUCACCUAGUUGACCCAUCCUCCACCUACCUCCCCUCUGGUAACCCUCUGUCCUCUACAGUUAAGAGUAUACUUAAGAGUCACCUGGGUGGCUCAGUCGGUUAAGCAUCUGGCUUCAGUGCAAGUCAUGAUCUCACACAUUGUGAGUUCCAGCCCCGCAUCAGGCUCUGUGCUGACAGCUCAGAGGCUGGCACCUGCUUCAGAUUCUGUGUCUCCCCUUCUCUCGGCCCCUCCCCCACUUACACUCUGUCUCUCUCUCAAAAAUAGAUGAACAUUUAAAAAAAGAGUCUGUUUUUUGGUUUGUCUCUUUUUUUCUUUGUUCAUUUGUUUUGUUUCCUAAUUCCACAUGAGUGAAAUCAUAUGGUAUUUGUCUUUCUCUAACUUAUUUUGCUUAGAAUUAUACUCUCUAGAUACAUUCAUGUUAUUGCAAAUGACAAGAUUUCAUUUUUUAUGGCUAAUAUCCCCUUGAGAGUGAGCAAGCUCGAGUGGGGAAGAGGAGCAGAGGAAGAGAGAGAGAGACAGAGAGAAGAGAGAAUCUCAAGUAGGCUCCAUGCUCAGUACAGAGCUCGACACAGGGCUCAAUCCCACAACUCUAGGAUCAUGACCUGACCUGAAGUAAAAAGUCAGAUGCUCUACAAAUUGGCAAAGAAGAAGUAAAACUUUCAUUCCUCGCAGAGGACACGAUACUCUACAUAGAAAACCCGAAAGACUAUGUCUAAAAGCUGCUAGAACUGAUACAUGAAUUAGCAAAGUCACAGGAUACAAAAUUAAUGUACAGAAAUCGGUUUAAUUUCUAUACACCAAUGAUGAAGCAACAGAAAGAGAAAUCAAGAAAUUGAUCCCAUUUACAAUCAAUCCCAUUUACCAAGAACCAUAAAAUAUGUAGGAAUAAACCUAACCAAAGAUGUAAAAGAUCUGUAUGCUGAAAACUAUAGAAAACUUAUGAAAGAAAUUGAAGAAGACAUAAAUAAAUAGAAAAACAUUCCAUUCUCAUGGAUUGGAAGAAUAAAUAUUGUUAAAAUGUCAAUACUACCCAAAGCAAACUACACAUUCAAUGCAAUCCCAAUCAAAAUUACACUGGCAUUCCUCCUAGAGCUAGAACAAACAAUCCUAAAAUUUGUAUGGAACCACAAAAGAGCUCGAAUAGCCAAAGUAAUGUUGAAAAAGAAAACCAAAGUGAGAGGCAUCACAAUCCCAGACUUUAGCCUCUACUACAAAGCUGUAAUCAUCAAGAUAGUAUGGUAUUGGCACAAAAACAGUCACAUAGACCAAUGGAAUAGAAUAAAGACCCCAGAAUUGGACCCACAAAUGUAUGGCCAACUAAUCUUUGACAAAGGAGGAAAGAGUAUCCAAUGGACAAAAGACAGUCUCUUCAGCAAAUUGUGCUGGGAGAACUGGACAGAAACAUGCAGAAGAAUGAAACUGAACCACUUUCUUACACCAUAUACAAAAAUGAACUCAAAAUGGAUGAAAGACCUAAAUGUGAGACAGGAAACCAUCAAAACCCUAGAGGAGAAAAUAGGCAACAACCUCUUUGACCUUAGCCGCAGCAACUUCUUACUCAAUAUGUCUCCAAAGGCAAGGGAAGUAAAGGCAAAAAUGAACUGUUGGGACCCCUCAAGAUAAAGAGCUCAGCACAGCAAAGGAAAUAAUCAACAAAAUUAACAGGUGACUGAUGGAAUGGGGGAAGAUAUUUGCAAAUGACAUAUUGGAUAAAGAGUAUCCAAAAUCUAUAAAGAACUUACCAAACUCAACACCGAAAAAACAAAUAAUCCAGUGAAGAAAUGGGCAAAAGACAUGAAUAGACACUUUUCCAAAGAUGUCCAGAUGGCCAACAGACACAUGAAAAGAUGCUCAACAUCACUUAUCAUCAGGGAAAUACAAAUCAAAACAACAUUGAGAUACCACCUCACACUGGUAAGAGUGGCUAAAAUGAACAAAUCAGGAGACUAUAGAUGCUGGAGAGGAUGUGGAGAAAUGGGAACCCUCUUGCACUGUUGGUGGGAAUGCAAAAUGGUGCAGCCACUCUUGAAAACAGUGUGGAGGUUCUUAAAAAAAUUAAAAAUAGAUCUACCCUAUGACCCAGCAAUAGCACCGGUAGGAAUUUACCCAAGGGAUACAGGAGUGCUGGUUCAUAGGGGCCCAUGUACCCCAAUGUUUAUUGCAAUGCUUUCAACAAUAGCCAAAUUAUGGAAAGAGCCUAAAUGUCCAUCAACUGAUGAGUGGAUAAAGAAGAUGUGGUUUGUAUAUACAAUGGAAUACUACUUGGCAAUGAGAAAGAAUGAAAUCUUGCCAUUUGCAACAAUGUGGAUGGAAAUGGAGGGUAUUAUGCUAAGUGAAAUAAAUGAGUCAGAGAAAGACAGAUAUAUGUUUCCACUCAUAUGUGAAAUUUGAGAAACUUAACAGAAGACCAUGGGGGAAGGAAAGGGGAAAAAAUAGCUUUAAACAGAGAGGGAGGCAAACCAUAAGAGAUACUCAAAUACAGAGAACAAACUGAGAGUUGAAGGGGGUGCAGGGGAGAGGGGAAAAUGGGUGAUGGGCAUUGAGGAGGGCACUUGUUGGGAUGAGCACUGGGUGUUGUAUGUAAGUGAUGAAUCAUGGGAAUCUACUCCUGGAGCCAAGAGCACACCGUAUACACUGUAUGUUAGCUAACUUGAUAAUAAAUUAUAUUAAAGCAAAUAAAUAAAUAAAAUAAAAAGAAUCCUGUAAAUAAAUUUUUAAAAAGUUGGAUGUUCAACCUAUGGAGACACCUAGGUGCCCCACCACAUCAUGUUUAUCCAUUCAUCUAUCAAUAGACACUUGGGCUGCGUUCAUAUCUUGGCUAUUAUAAAUAAUGCUGCAGUAAACAUGGGGGUGUGUAUAUCUUUUCAAAUGAGUGAUUUAAUAUUCUUUGGGUAAAUACCCAGUAAAGGAAUUACUGGAUCAUAUGGUAGUUCUACUUUUAAUUUUUUGAGGAAGCUCCACACUGUUUUCCACAGUGGCUGCACCAGUUUGCAUUCCUAACCAUAGUGCAUGAGGAUUCCUUCUUCACAUCCUCACCAACACUUGUUGUUUCUUGUGGUUUUGAUUUGUAUUUUCCUGAUUAGUGAUGUUGAGCAUCUUUACAUGUGUCUGUUGGCCAUCUGUAUGUCUUCUUUGGAGAAAUGUCUGUUCAUGUCUUCUGCCCAUUUCUAAUUGAAUUAAUUUGUUUGGGGGUGUUGAGUUGUGUAAGUUCCUUAUAUAUUUUGGAUACUAACACCUUAUUGGAUAUGUCAUUUGCAAAUAUCUUCUCUCAUUCAAUAGGUUGCCUUUUAGUUUUGUUGAUUGUUUCCUUUACUGUGUAGAAGUUUUUUAUUUUGGUGUAGUCCCAAUAGUUUAUUUUUGCUUUUGUUUCCCUUGCCUCAGGAAACAUAUCUAGAAAGGUGUUGCUAUGGCUGAUGUCAGAGAAAUUACUGCCUGUGUUGUUUUCUAGGAUUUUUAUGGUUUCAGGUCUCACAUUUAGGUCUUCAAUCCAUUUUGAGUUUAUUUUUGUGUAUGGUGUAAGAGAGUGGUCCAGUUUUUUUGCAUGUGACUUUCUAGUUUUCUCAACAUCAUCUGUUGAAGAGACUAUCUUUUCCCAUUGCAUGUUUUGCCUCCAAUGUCAAAGAUUAAUUGGCCAUGUAAUUGUGGGUUUAUUUUGGGGCUCUCUGUUCUGUUCCAUUGAUCUAUGUGUCUGUUUAUGUGCCAGUACCAUACUGUUUUGAUUACUACAGCUUUGUAGUUUAUCUUGAAAUCUAAGAUUGGGAUACUUCCAAUUUUGUUCCUUUUUUUCAAGAUUGCUUUGGGUCUUUCAUGGUUCCAUACAAAUAUUAAGAUUGUUCUAGCCCUGUGAAAAAUGCUUUUUGUAUUUUGAUAGGGAUUCCAUUAAAUCUGUAGAUUGCUUUGGGUACUAUAAAUAUUUUAAUUAUAUUUAUUCUCCCAGCCCAUGAGCAUGGAAUAUCUUUUCUCUUUGUUUGUAUCAUCUUCAAUUUCUUUCAAUUUUGACCACACUUAAAUAGCACUUUAUGUUUCCAUUUAUGUGAAGAAUCUACUGUUAUUCUGAGAAAAAGUGCCACAAAAUGCCAAAUUUCGGUAUUUUAGAAAGUUUCACACAGUCAUUUAGAAAGUUUGUCUCCCUAAAUGGAACACUGCUAGGGUUUGACAUAUACUCUGCCAGUCUUUUCUCCAUACAAAUGUACUCUGCACCUCAUCACCUCCACUUGUUUAAGUCUCCUCCUAAGAUUGAGAGAUUCAAGUAUUUUUAUUUUUUGACCGUCUAACUCAAGGCUGGAUAGGGGAUAAACCUUGUUCCAUAAUAAAGAACAGGAGACAAGUUAGCAGGAGAUUCACCUAUUCAGACCUCUUUUUAGUAUUUUUAGCUUCCUCUCCCCUCUCCUCCUCCAUCUUCAGUGUUUGAAGCUUCUCUUCUGCUCCAUUAAGAUAGGGAACAAUCUACACAAACAAGGUGCACAUCUGGUCCUGACCAUUUCCUUUUGUCAGAGAUUAAAUUUGGAAAUCUUCACUAAGAUGAGUCUUUGGCUCCCAUAGCAGGCCAUUCUUGUUUUCCUGCCUCUCCAUUUCUCCUGUGCCCCAGGUCAGCAGAGGGGAAGCACUAUUUCAUAUUACCUUGAGCAGGACUAUCUCCUGGCUAGAAGCAGUCAACUGCCUGGGUGUUGGAAUAGAGACAGGGACAGAGUAGGGUGGCAUUAGGUAGAGAAGAAUGCCUAUGUUUCCUUAGCCAUUUUCCCACCUAUUGUGUCCUUAGGGUUUCUGGCUUUGUAUGGCUGCUUCUAACCAUUCAGGUGUGUGUGAACUUUGCAUUUAACAAAGAAUUUGUUUUCCUAUUUCCUCAUCGGAACCUCAUAAUGCCCUUUGAGCUGGGCUGGGCAGAGUGAAGUUCAAGUGGUGGUGGCUUGGCUGAGGCACCUCAAUGGAAGAGAUAGGACCUGCUACACAUACCCCCUGACUCUCAGGGCCCAUGGCCCAAGAGCAGUUGGCUAGCAGUUUAUCCCUGAGGCUGUGAACCAGGCCUACAGCUGCUACAGAUAUGGAGCACAGGGAAAUUGGGUGAUAACUGGCUCUUUUCUAUCCUGGAGCCCUUUCCAAGAUUCAGUGUUUCUGUGUGGCUGGACCUCUUAGGGGGAGAAGUGUCUUGGGGUUCUGGGGUAUAGUUGAAUCCCCCCUGGGUGGAGUUAAGAGCACCUUCACUGGGUGACUUUGAACUUUGCACCAGAUCAUCCGAGUUAGGACUGUUUAUGCAUCCUCUGAAAGAUUGGUGUGCUCAGAGUCAUAUCACCAUUGCAGGUAUGGACUCAAUCCAGAGCCAGUGAUAAAUGAAUGCCUACUGGCUGAAUAUGAAUGUGAGUGUCUCUCAAUCCAGAACAGCUCUUUUAUGGGAUCCUACAUAUUCUAGAAUGGGACUGUGCUAGAAUGUAUUCCUUCUCCUUCCAUCUCCCUGAGCUCCUGACCCUGAGGCCCACCUUCAGACUCCCACAGAAUCAAAUUUCUCUGCUGAUUUUGGGCUUGGUGACAACUGUAUGUGUGCAUGUAUGUGCGGUCAUUGUUUUAUUAUGAUCUCUCUGCUCCCCCCGCCUCCUUCUACACUAAGAACCAUGAAUGAUAUUGUUUCAUUUCCCUAUUAUAAGAUAGGCAAAUGAGUAUGCUAUAUAUACAUGUCAAGUGAAUGAAUGAAUAAUGGAGUCUGUUUUGUGGGUGGAGGUAGUAUGUCACUGGGAACCAUCUUAACGUCCUUAAAAAACAAUCACUUCACCAUAAGUCUGUCUCAUUGCUCACAGCCAGCAAGAGGGAGGAAACCGUCCCACGUGUUUGGGUAUGGGCUCCAUGAAAAUCCUUCACUUCAGCCUGAUUGACCACUUAUUUCUUGUUGGCGGGGCUCCCUUGAUAGAAAAGUUGGUUUUUCUAUCUGAUCUGGGGACUCUAGAUCUGUGGGUGCAGCAGACUGAACUUGGCUUCCUGCUGGAUCUCAGAUGGUGCUGUGAUGAUCCACACUCCUUUUGUUACCCCCUUGUUGGUGCUACCGACCGGCCGAGGUAUCUGCAGUGGCUGAUGUCAGCCUGUCCCUGUCAAAGUUUCUGAAAAGCCCUGGCGUCUAGAAGCUUCGUGAUCACAACCUGCCUCCUUAUAUUUCAUUAGGUGUCCAGGUCUUCUCAGUGCUCCCUGUGGACCCCAGAAGGAACCUGCUUGUAUUGCAAGGCCUGAAAUGCUGUGUGCUGCCUUGACUUCUCUGAGUCUCACAGAGCCCCACCUUGCUCUUAUCAGACAUGUCCCCACCCAGCGGGAAAGUCUCUCCUCCUGGCUAGUCCCCCUCCCAGCUGGACCAGCUGCUCCCCAUUUGGCUCUCCAUCUAAUGGUUUCACCUCCCAGCCAGCCUGUGGAAUUAUUCAAACAAGCCAAUCACAUUCUCCCUUGGAGACCAGGGGCACCCCACCCUUCAGUUAAUAAAUGCAUGUUAUCUACAGACUCUGUGGGUUCCCUGUGCUCCCGAGUGCAGCCCCGGAUGGCCCUGUGUCAUGUGCAGUGUCUUCCCCCUGGCUGUGAGUACACAUGAUUAAUAAACUGCUGUCCAUCUUG